AGAUGGAGGAUUGCGCUGCUCUCGUGGUGCUGGUGAAUUUUGUCUUCUCCGUACCUGUCUCUCCAGGUCACAUGGACGAUAAGGAUGUGAAGGUGAUGAAGUGUAUUGUGGAAGUAAUUGCAGAUGCCUUGUCCAAGCCUCAUCC